rnacentral:rRNA from 1 species
UAUCCGGAUUUAUUGGGCGUAAAGGGCUCGUAGGCGGCUCGUCGCGUCCGGUGUGAAAGUCCAUCGCUUAACGGUGGAUCUGCGCCGGGUACGGGCGGGCUGGAGUGCGGUAGGGGAGACUGGAAUUCCCGGUGUAACGGUGGAAUGUGUAGAUAUCGGGAAGAACACCGAUGGCGAAGGCAGGUCUCUGGGCCGUCACUGACGCUGAGGAGCGAAAGCGUGGGGAGCGAACAGGAUUAGAUACCCUGGUAGUCCACGCCGUAAACGGUGGACGCUGGAUGUGGGGCACGUUCCACGUGUUCCGUGUCGGAGCUAACGCGUUAAGCGUCCCGCCUGGGGAGUACGGCCGCAAGGCUAAAACUCAAAGAAAUUGACGGGGGCCCGCACAAGCGGCGGAGCAUGCGGAUUAAUUCGAUGCAACGCCAAGAACCUUACCUGGGCUUGACAUGUUCCCGACGACCCCAAAAAUGGCGUUUCCCUUCGGGGCGGGUUCACAGGUGGUGCCUGGCGUC